rnacentral:rRNA from 1 species
GACGAACGCGGCGGCGUGCCUAAUACAUGCAAGUAGAACGCUGAAGCUUGGUGCUUGCACCGAGCGGAUGAGUUGCGAACGGGUGAGUAACGCGUAGGUAACCUGCCUGGUAGCGGGGGAUAACUAUUGGAAACGAUAGCUAAUACCGCAUAAGAGUAGAUGUUGCAUGACAUUUGCUUAAAAGGUGCAAUUGCAUCACUACCAGAUGGACCUGCGUUGUAUUAGCUAGUUGGUGAGGUAACGGCUCACCAAGGCGACGAUACAUAGCCGACCUGAGAGGGUGAUCGGCCACACUGGGACUGAGACACGGCCCAGACUCCUACGGGAGGCAGCAGUAGGGAAUCUUCGGCAAUGGACGGAAGUCUGACCGAGCAACGCCGCGUGAGUGAAGAAGGUUUUCGGAUCGUAAAGCUCUGUUGUAAGAGAAGAACGAGUGUGAGAGUGGAAAGUUCACACUGUGACG